UACGUAGGGGGCGAGCGUUGUUCGGAUUCAUUGGGCGUAAAGGGUGCGUAGGUGGCGCUGUAAGUCGGGUGUGAAAUUUCGGAGCUUAACUCCGAAACUGCAUUCGAUACUGCGGUGCUUGAGGACUGGAGAGGAGACUGGAAUUCAUGGUGUAGCAGUGAAAUGCGUAGAGACUAUGAGGAAGACCAGUGGCGAAGGCGGGUCUCUGGACAGUUCCUGACACUGAGGCACGAAGGCCAGGGGAGCAAACGGG
rnacentral:rRNA from 1 species